rnacentral:ncRNA from 1 species
GCAGAGAAAAAAACACGGCCCGGUUGGUAGUCCGGGCGCGGCGGGGUAAGCCUGCUGUCAGUAACCUGCCUCCUUGGUUGUCCGUUCUCUGU